AGUCCCGAUUCAGGUUUUUGUGCCUGCAUCCCAAACAACCACUGAGACAGAUUUUGAACCAACCCCUAUGCUACAGAUUGAAGGGACUACAGAAACCACUCCUGAAACCCCCAAACAACUUCAAGAGACCACACCCACGAUUCCCCCAGCUCCAACUAAAAUUCAUCCAGCUGCAGAAGACGCUGCUGCCCUGUUGAU